UCCGCCCCCGCGGUGGGAAAAGUGGGCGCCGGCGGCUGCUUCCCAGCCCUGCUGAACCGAAAGUUCUGGGUUUCAGCGGGAGAUGGGGGCGCGCCACCGCGACCAGGUGCAGGAGAGGAGGCCACUUCGCACAGAAUCAGCAACUGUCCAAUGGUCUGGCCCGCACAGCAGGAGUUAUUGAACAGGAGAAUCUGGAACCAGGAGUGAGCAGAGCUGGCCCCAGGCCUUGGUGGCUGUGUACUAGUUCUGUGACCUGCAAUCAGUCACUUAACUUCUGUGAGCUCCUCUCUUUCCGUCUGUAAAAAAGGAAUAUGUACUACCCACUUCCUGAGUAGAUGUUGAAGAUGUUGUAAAAGGUUCGAGUCAACCAAUUAAAAGCAAUAGAUCACAUGAAGAUGAGUAUAUCUUCUGUUUGUUGGGACAUAAUCCAGAGAGGAUCUUUCUCCCCAGAUAUUAUGGGAUGGCCACAUUUUACAGCUGAGAGUGACAAGGCUUAGAAACUAAACAUAUAAGGUCCUGCCCCAUCUCCUGGAAGAAGGAAUGCUACACAGAGAGGCUAAGAAGACUCUGGACAGUGCAGAAUCUGGAGCUAGAGAAAAAUUUAAAAAGCCACAAGGAUGUGAAUUGCUGAGCCUGAGAUAGAAGAGGUAGGGAAAAAAAACAUAAGAACCUGCUUGUCUUCUGUUGAGUUAAAACGAACUAUUUUUUAAAAUAGUGUGAAAUAAAGGAAAUGAGAGACAUAUUAAGGAUAUGCUACAGUGAAUGUAGAGACAA
rnacentral:lncRNA from 1 species